UGGCUCAGUGGUAAGAGCACUGGCUGUUCUUCCAGAGGACCUGGGUUCAAUUCCCAG
rnacentral:tRNA from 1 species